ensembl:misc_RNA Metazoa_SRP Metazoan signal recognition particle RNA
GCCAGGCAUGGUGGUGCACACCUGUAGUCCCAGCUACUUGGGAGGCUGAGGCAGGAAAAUCACUUGAGCCCGGGAGUUUGAGACUGCAGUGAGCUAUGAUUGCACACUGCACUCCAGCCUGGGCGGCAGAGUGAGAUCCUGUCUCUU